rnacentral:rRNA from 1 species
CAAUAGCGUAUAUUAAAGCUGUUGCGGUUAAAGAGCUCGUAGUUGGAUUUCUGUCAAGGACAACUGGUCCGCCCUCCGGGUGAGCACAUAGUUUGGUCUUGGCAUCUUGCUGGAAACUGUUGCUGCACUUGGCUGUGUGGCGCAGCGUCCAGCACUUUCACUUUGAGGAAAUUGGAGUGUUUCGAGCAGGCACAUGCCUUUGGACACAGUAGCAUGGAAUAAUUAGAUUGGGCUUUUGCUCCAAUUUGUCGGUUUCUGGAGCUGAGGUGAGAAUUAAUGGGGAUUGUUGGGGGCAUCCGAAUUUAGCCGUCAGAGGUGAAAUUCUUGGAUCUGCUAAAGACGGACAACUGCGAAAGCGUUUGCCCAGGAUGUUUUCAUUGA